AGUUGGAUUUGUGGAGGCACAUUUUCAGUCUCACCAAACAACAGUUAUGUGUCCCACAGUUCCAACUCU
rnacentral:pre_miRNA from 1 species